GACGAACGCUGGCGGCGUGCCUAAUACAUGCAAGUAGAACGCUGAAGGAGGAGCUUGCUUCUCUGGAUGAGUUGCGAACGGGUGAGUAACGCGUAGGUAACCUGCCUGGUAGCGGGGGAUAACUAUUGGAAACGAUAGCUAAUACCGCAUAAUAGUAGAUGUUGCAUGACAUUUGCUUAAAAGGUGCAAUUGCAUCACUACCAGAUGGACCUGCGUUGUAUUAGCUAGUUGGUGGGGUAACGGCUCACCAAGGCGACGAUACAUAGCCGACCUGAGAGGGUGAUCGGCCACACUGGGACUGAGACACGGCCCAGACUCCUACGGGAGGCAGCAGUAGGGAAUCUUCGGCAAUGGACGGAAGUCUGACCGAGCAACGCCGCGUGAGUGAAGAAGGUUUUCGGAUCGUAAAGCUCGGUUGUAAGAGAGGAACGAGUGUGAGAGUGGAAAGUUCACACUGUGACGGUAUCUGACCAGAAAGGGACGGCUAACUACGUG
rnacentral:rRNA from 1 species